UACGUAGGGUGCGAGCGUUUAAUCGGAAUUACUGGGCGUAAAGCGUGCGCAGGCGGUUUUGUAAGCCAGAUGUGAAAUCCCCGGGCUUAACCUGGGAAUGGCAUUUGGGACUGCAAGGCUUGAGUGCGGCAGAGGAGACUGGAAUUCCUGGUGUAGCAGUGAAAUGCGUAGAUAUAGGAGGAACACCGAUGGCGAAGGCAGGUCUCUGGGCUGACACUGACGCUCAUGCACGAAAGCGUGGGGAGC
rnacentral:rRNA from 1 species